AUUCCAGCUCCAAUAGCGUAUAUUAAAGUUGUUGCGGUAAAAAAGCUCGUAGUUGGAUUUCUGUUGCGAAUGGCCGGUCUUCACUACGUGAAUGUAUCUGGUUCAAUCGUGGCAUCCUCAUAGGAAACGUUGCUGCGCUUCACUGCGUGGUGCGGUGCCUAUGACUUUUACUUUGAGGAAAUUAGAGAGUUCACGGCAGGCAAUCGCCCUGAAUAUGUUAGCAUGGAAUAAUAAUAUAGGAUCUUGGUUCUAUUUUGUUGGUCUCUAGAGCUAAGAUAAUGGUUAAUAGGAAUAAUUGGGGGCAUUUGUAUUAACAUGUCAGAGGUGGAAUUCUUGGAUUAUGUUACGACAAACUACUGCGAAAGCAUUUGCCAAGGAUGUUUUCAUCG
rnacentral:rRNA from 1 species